UGUUGAACGUCUCUUCGAGUCUGUUUAUCUAAGGACAAUCGUCUAUGAUUUUAAGACCGAUAGGGUAAAGCCGGAAACGGUUCUGCCUCCCAGUGAGGAAAGAAGAGAUCGUGGUAGAGUA
rnacentral:ncRNA from 1 species